rnacentral:rRNA from 1 species
CCCUUAGAUGUUCUGGGCCGCACGCGCGCUACACUGAUCGAUUCAACGAGUUUUGAAAUAAUUUUUUGAUUUUUUCAUAUCCUUUGUCGGAAGGCAUGGGUAAUCUUUUAAAUGUCGAUCGUGAUGGGGCUAGAUUCUUGCAAUUAUUAAUCUCCAACGAGGAAUUCCUAGUAAACGCAAGUCAUCAGCUUGCAUUGAUUACGUCCCUGCCCUUUGUACACACCGCCCGUCGCUCCUACCGAUUGAGUGGUCCGGUGAGGCUUUGGGAUCUGAGCGGAAAGAGCGUUUCGCUGUUUCUGCUCGGAAAACUCAGUCGAACCUUAUCAUUUAGAGGAAGGAGAAGUCGUAACA